rnacentral:sRNA from 1 species
GGUAUAUCAACAGGUACUGGUGAUAGCUCCAGUGUAGAUUCCGAAAGUUACGACUCGACAACCUCUUGACUAUUUAUAGCAAGCACCCAAAAGGGGGAGUAACUACAUUUUGAAAAGGAUAACUCCUACAUCAUGUAACAAUGAACUAUUCUCUGAAAAUACCAGAGUUGUGAUUCUUUGAGAUCGACUAACACUGAAUGGUGGACAGUAGUAAAGUUCACAAUUCGCUUUCAUGGACCCACUUGAGACCUGAAAAAUUUGUCACAUACGAAGACGGUGGAUGCUAUGUUCUAAAAUAGAUUAAUGAUUUUUUAUUUUUUUUACAGUGUAAU